AAGCACAAAUCCUCAUGGAGGCAUACUAGGAGGUAAAAGAUAUAAUUAAGAAGAAAGGCAACACCGCCACAGUGAUAAAGCAAAGAGAAAAAGCGUGGCAAAGUAUUGCAGACCGCCUGAAUGCAUUAAACAUGAACGGGCCAAAACGGACAUGGCAGCAGGUCAAAAUCAAAUACAAGAACAUUCUGCAGAAUGGUAUGGUCCCUGACUAAUAUUUAACAAAGCACAAGCAUAUAUUGUACCCAGAAGGUGCCUGCUCACACAUUGUCUGUACUGUUUUAGCAGUGAAAAAGAAUACCCACAGACAAGGCACGGGUGGUGGGUCACCAAAGGCUGACCUUACCCCAGCAGAGGACAUGGCCUUGGAGCUAAAUAAAGGCAGGCCCGUCUUAGAGGGGAUCCCUGGGGGAAAGAGACGAGCAUAGGUUCCUCCCAAGAUGCCACCCGCUUCAUUCAAGUGUCUGGCAGCACUGUGUUCCUGUUAGAGCCACCAGCACAAGCACCAGACGAUGCUGAUCCAGGUGAAGGCCCCAGUGCAGCAGCAACAGCACAUGAUGGAGACGAUGAUGAUGAUGAGGAGGAGACCAUCUCUCUGGAUUCCAGAAGGCAUGAGGUAUCAUGGACCCAGAUGCUAUACAGUGGGAAAACCAGCCUGGCAACAUAGUGCGUAUUAAUAAAAGGACACCACAUCCAGCCAAAUUCCAGCUGCG